UGAGCAACUUGCCCCUGACUCUGGGAUAACCCCGGGAAUCCGGAGCUAAUGCCGGAUACGACACGCGAAGGCAUCGUCUGCGUGUGGAAAGAUUUAUCGGUCAGGGAUGGGCUCGCGGCCUAUCAGCUUGUUGGUGGGGUAAUGGCUCACCAAGGCGACGACGGGUAGCCGGCCUGAGAGGGUGUCCCGGCCACACUGGGACUGAGAUACGGCCCAGACUCCGUACGGGAGG
rnacentral:rRNA from 1 species